rnacentral:lncRNA from 10 species
AUUCAGACUGUGGUGAAAAUACACAUGUUCUCAAUUACUUUUGCCCGGUGUUGACACGCAUCAAUUUCAUUUUCAUUCCCUCGUUGAGAACAAUCACGUCUGAUGGACAAUGUGAAAAUACUUUCACUUCAACCCCAUGAAGAUUACAUAGAAGAAAAUGCCAGAUGAAGUUCCUUAUUGUUUCUCAUUCACAGAAUUUAUUUCCACUAAGUUAUUAAAAAAAUGGGCAAAAGAAAGUGGAACUUCAACUGUUCCUUAGGACAAUACGGACUUGUGUUUUUGAAGAAGCAAAGUGGAAAUGAUUAGGCAGCAGGGACUCUUUGCAGAAAAACGUAAGGAGCAAAGAAAAAUUUCUCAGAAAAGGAGAUUUGAAGCACAAUUGUCAUCAGUUCACAGAAGAAUUUUGAAGUUCUGUUUCCAGAGGCCUCUCUCUGCCUGCCCAGAGACUGUACAUCUUCAGAGAUGAGCAAAACUCUGCACUCUGCAAAAUCAGCACCCUCUGUCUAAUCAAAAGUUAACUUGGCCCAGGUUUUAGUUUCUCUGUAAGUUUUGUUGGAAAGUAAUAUAAUAAAUCUUAUUACAAGAUACAGCUGAUUAUGUAUACAUUAUGUCUUUGGAGAAAUUUGCAUUUUAAGAGGAAGGUCAAGGAUGCCUUAAUUACAAACAUUGCAUUUUUGGUUAUUUAAAUAGUAUCUGGGAAAACGGUGAAGAUAUAUAGGAAGUUAAGAAAGAUACCUGUAUCUACCACGUGUGAAAGAUUAUCUCAGUAAAUAGAAUUGGCUACAUAUUCAUCUAUUAUAAUAAUACCAAAAAAGAAGAUAUAUAUCUUCAAAGCGUCACAAUUUUUGUAGUCAGCAAAAUGAAUGGCAAAGAUAAUGAGAGAAUAAAGAUACAAAAAUGAGUAUUUAAAAAUAGAAUUCCAAUGGGAAAACUGUUAAUUUUAAAAAUUAUAUGUAAAGAUGAGGUUGCUGUUAAGCAUUUUACACCAAUAGAGAUAUCAAUUGGAAUAUUUUAUGUGAAGAAAAGAAAUAAUGACUUAACUUUGUCAAUAAAGAAAGCA